CCUACGGGAGGCAGCAGUGGGGGAUAUUGGACAAUGGGGGAAACCCUGAUCCAGCGACGCCGCGUGAGUGAAGAAGUAUUUCGGUAUGUAAAGCUCUGUCAGCAGGGAAGAAAGAAAUGACGGGACCUGACCAAGAAGCCCCGGCUAACUACGGGCCAGCAGCCGCGGUAAUACGUAGGGGGCAAGAGUUAUCCGGAAUUACUGGGUGUAAAGGGAGAGUAGACGGUGAUGCAAGGCUGGAGUGAAAGGCGGGGGCCCAACCCCCGGACUGCUCUUGAAACUGUUUAACUUGAGUGCAGGUGAGGUAAGCGGAAUUCCUCGUGUAGCGGUUAAAUGCGUAGAUAUUAGGAGGAACCCCAGUGGCGAAGGCGGCUUACUGGACUGUAACUGACGUUGAGGCUCGAAAGCGUGGGGAGCAAACAGGAUUAGAUACCCUUGUAGUC
rnacentral:rRNA from 1 species